CCUAAGGUAGCGAAAUUCCUUGUCGGGUAAGUUCCGACCUGCACGAAUGGCGUAAUGAUGGCCAGGCUGUCUCCACCCGAGACUCAGUGAAAUUGAACUCGCUGUGAAGAUGCAGUGUACCCGCGGCAAGACGGAAAGACCCCGUGAACCUUUACUAUAGCUUGACACUGAACAUUGAGCCUUGAUGUGUAGGAUAGGUGGGAGGCUUUGAAGUGUGGACGCCAGUCUGCAUGGAGCCGACCUUGAAAUACCACCCUUUAAUGUUUGAUGUUCUAACGUGGGCCCCUUACCGGGGUUGCGGACAGUGUCUGGUGGGUAGUUUGACUGGGGCGGUCUCCUCCUAAAGAGUAACGGAGGAGCACGAAGGUUGGCUAAUCCUGGUCGGACAUCAGGAGGUUAGUGCAAUGGCAUAAGCCAGCUUGACUGCGAGCGUGACGGCGCGAGCAGGUGCGAAAGCAGGUCAUAGUGAUCCGGUGGCUCUGAAUGGAAGGGCCAUCGCUCAACGGAUAAAAGGUACUCUGGGGAUAACAGGCUGAUACCGCCCAAGAGUUCAUAUCGACGGCGGUGUUUGGCACCUCGAUGUCGGCUCAUCACAUCCUGGGGCUGAAGUAGGUCCCAAGGGUAUGGCUGUUCGCCAUUUAAAGUGGUACGCGAGCUGGGUUUAGAACGUCGUGAGACAGUUCGGUCCCUAUCUGCCGUGGGCGUUGGAGAAUUGAUUGGGGCUGCUCCUAGUACGAGAGGACCGGAGUGGACGCACCACUGGUGUUCCGGUUGUGUCGCCAGACGCAUUGCCGGGUAGCUAAGUGCGGAAGAGAUAAGUGCUGAAAGCAUCUAAGCACGAAACUUGCCCCGAGAUGAGUUCUCCCUGACUCCUUGAGAGUCCUGAAGGAACGUUGAAGACGACGACGUUGAUAGGCCGGGUGUGUAAGCGCAGCGAUGCGUUGAGCUAACCGGUACUAAUGAACCGUGAGGCUUAACCUU
rnacentral:rRNA from 1 species